CUCCUGGGUAAAGGACCAGUCACCUCUAAUUUGCGUGAGUUCGGGGUUGUUUUCUAAAUGCUGCCUAUGUCUGAAGAAAUCUGAACAAAAGAACUUGGGGAUUUGGGAGGCCCCAGGAGCUGAGAAAUCAAGAGCCCUAUCCUUGCUGUGCUGUCUGCCACUCUUCAGAAGAGGUUCUGCAUGACCCCUCAUCCAGUCCCUCUGCUGCUAGGAGUUGUCACAUUUUAUCAAGGAAGGAGCUCCAUUAACGCGAGCGUUUGGGGAAAAAAACAAAAACACUAAUCACCAUCCGAAAUGUACAUGCUAUUUCCCAUCUGGUGUGUGGAAUUGGAU